AUUGAACGCUGGCGGCAGGCCUAACACAUGCAAGUCGAACGAGUGGCGGACGGGUGAGUAAUGUCUGGGAAACUGCCUGAUGGAGGGGGAUAACUACUGGAAACGGUAGCUAAUACCGCAUACUAUCAGAUGAGCCUAGGUGGGAUUAGCUAGUGGGUGGGGUAACGGCCUACCAAGGCGACGAUCCGUAACUGGUCUGAGAGGAUGAUCAGGCACACUGGAACUGAGACACGGUCCAGACUCCUACGGGAGGCAGCAGUGGGGAAUAUUGCACAAUGGGCGCAAGCCUGAUGCAGCCAUGCCGCGUGUAUGAAGAAGGCCUUCGGGUUGUAAAGUACUUUCAGCGAGGAGGCGUUACCCGCAGAAGAAGCACCGGCUAACUCCGUGCCAGCAGCCGCGGUAAUUC
rnacentral:rRNA from 1 species